GAAGCUCGUCUCUACAGGAACGU
rnacentral:miRNA from 1 species